rnacentral:lncRNA from 1 species
UGGAGAUCUUUUUUGUCUUCUGGGUAAAGCAGCAUGAUUCACUUUGUAGUUCCUGCUUAGUGACCUCUCCUGGUUCCUCACCUCAUGUUCUCCACUGGUGAGACCCAUCGGUGAUUAGGUGCUCAGAAGAGGUGGUUGUGCACCCUUUGACACCUUGCAUCCCCUGUUGCCUGGAUUUCAAAGAGGUCUCUGAGAAAAGCAACUUCUGGAUUAUCUCAAAUGCACUAGCAACAGUCUUUCAGAUGAAGAAACCUAUGUGGAAUAUGUGAAAAGGAAUUUCUGAAGACCUUCCAGAAGCAAGAAUUACCACAGAAGCUGAUCAAUGUUGGCCUUUCUUACUGG